CAAGGAUUUAUUGUACGCCGAGUUUGGUACUGUGGUGUGGUGUAGGAGAAAUGUGGUAGGGUUCAGUGGUGGCGGGGUGUCAGAGAAUCUUGCAAGGGUUUUAUGGAUCGCUGCCCAGUAUGGCUUGAUCCGUGGGCAGUCCCACCACAGGUGGAUGAACGUGCCCGUGUCUCCCUCACAUCUCCAGCAUCUGUCAUCAGCGGUGGGGUCUACGAUGUGGGUGAGUCGUGGGGUGCG